GACGAGUGGCGGACGGGUGAUUAAUGUCUGGGAAACUGCCUGAUGGAGGGGGAUAACUACUGGAAACGGUAGCUAAUACCGCAUAACGUCGCAAGACCAAAGAGGGGGACCUUCGGGCCUCUUGCCAUCAGAUGUGCCCAGAUGGGAUUAGCUAGUAGGUGGGGUAAUGGCUCACCUAGGCGACGAUCCCUAGCUGGUCUGAGAGGAUGACCAGCCACACUGGAACUGAGACACGGUCCAGACUCCUACGGGAGGCAGCAGUGGGGAAUAUUGCACAAUGGGCGCAAGCCUGAUGCAGCCAUGCCGCGUGUAUGAAGAAGGCCUUCGGGUUGUAAAGUACUUUCAGCGGGGAGGAAGGUGUUGUGGUUAAUAACCACAUCAAUUGACGUUACCCGCAGAAUAAGCACCUGCUAACUCCGUGCCAGCAUCCGCGGUAAUUACGGCAGGGUGCAAGCUGUUAGUCGGAAUUACUGGUGCGUAAAUCUCACGUAGAUGCCGGCUGCUCCCCCAACCCGGAUUUGAAAUCCUUGGGUUUACCCUUGGGAUCUGCAUUUUUGAUUAUUGCUAGGGUCGUGUAGUCUUGUAGAAGGGGGGGGUAGAAUUCAAGGCGUAGCGCUGAAUUGCGUAGAGAUUCUGGAGGAUCACCGGCGUUGAAGGGUGCCCCUGGACAAAGAUUGACGCUCAGGUUAGAAGCGUGGGAGCAAACAGGACUUAGAUACCCUGGUAGUACACGCUGUAAAUGAUGUUGACUUGGAGGUUUGUUCCCUUGAGGAGUGGCUUCCGGAGCUAACGCGUUAAGUCGACCUCCUGGGGAGUACGGCCGCAAGGUUAAAACUCAAAUGAAUUGACGGGGGCCCGCACAAGCGGUGGAGCAUGUGGUUUAAUUCGAUGCAACGCGAAGAACCUUACCUACUCUUGACAUCCAGAGAACUUAGCAGAGAUGCUUUGGUGCCUUCGGGAACUCUGAGACAGGUGCUGCAUGGCUGUCGUCAGCUCGUGUUGUGAAAUGUUGGGUUAAGUCCCGCAACGAGCGCAACCCUUAUCCUUUGUUGCCAGCGGUCCGGCCGGGAACUCAAAGGAGACUGCCAGUGAUAAACUGGAGGAAGGUGGGGAUGACGUCAAGUCAUCAUACCCUUACGAGUAGGCCCACACCCCACUUCAUGCUGCUCCCCAAGGGAAACUUCCUCGCGCGAGCCGCAGCUCGUCCUGCAUCGCGUUCUCACACCGAGGGCAGUAUCCAAUUCGCAUCCGUGAUCUUGGAAUGGCUAUUAAUAGUGGAUCUCACGUCUGCGGGGAAUACGUCCAGUCAGAGUUUGAUCCUCGCUAAGGAAAGGGAUGUUUCGCAUUACCGAGAAAUUUUAUUCGCUAAC
rnacentral:rRNA from 1 species